rnacentral:rRNA from 1 species
ACCGUAUAUCUUUAGAUUUUGUUGAUUAAUGCUUAGGAAUCUGCCUAUUAUUGGGGGACAACAUUUCGAAAGGAAUGCUAAUACCGCAUACGUCCUACGGGAGAAAGCAGGGGAUCUUCGGACCUUGCGCUAAUAGAUGAGCCUAAGUCGGAUUAGCUAGUUGGUGGGGUAAAGGCCUACCAAGGCGACAAUCUGUAGCGGGUCUGAAAGGAUGAUCCGCCACACUGGGACUGAGACACGGCCCAAACUCCUACGGGAGGCAGCAGUGGGGAAUAUUGGACAAUGGGCGCAAGCCUGAUCCACCCAUGCCGCGUGUGUGAAAAAGGCCUUAUGGUUGUAAAGCACUUUAAGCGAGGAGGAGGCUACUUUAUUUAAUACCUAGAGAUAGUGGACGUUACUCGCAAAAUAAGCACCGGCUAACUCUGUGCCAGCACCCGCGGUAAUACAGAGGGUGCAAGCGUUAAUCGGAUUUACUGGGCGUAAAGCGCGCGUAGGCGGCUAAUUAAGUCAAAUGUGAAAUCCCCGAGCUUAACUUGGGAAUUGCAUUCGAUACUGGUUAGCUAGAGUGUGGGAGAGGAUGGUAGAAUUCCAGGUGUAGCGGUGAAAUGCGUAGAGAUCUGGAGGAAUACCGAUGGCGAAGGCACCCAUCUGGCCUAACACUGACGCUGAGGUGCAAAAGCAUGGGGGAGCAAACAGGAUUAGAUACCCUGGUAGUCCCAUGCCGUAAACGAAUGUCUACUAGCCGUUGGGGGCCUUUUGAGGCUUUUAGUUGGCGCCA